UACGAAUGGAGCGAGCGUUGUUCGGAAUCACUGGGCUUAAAGCGUACGUAGGCGGCUAUGCAAGUCAGGAGUGAAAGCCCAGGGCUCAACCUUGGAAUGUCUCUUGAAACUGCAUGGCUCGAGUCCCGGAGAGGUUGGCAGAAUUUCGAGUGUAGAGGUGAAAUUCGCAGAUAUUCGAAGGAAUACCAGUGGCGAAGGCGGCCAACUGGACGGGAACUGACGCUGAGGUACGAAAGCGUGGGGAGCAAACAGG
rnacentral:misc_RNA from 1 species